rnacentral:rRNA from 1 species
AACGAACGCUGGCGGCAUGCCUAACACAUGCAAGUCGAACGAGACCUUCGGGUCUAGUGGCGCACGGGUGCGUAACGCGUGGGAACCUGCCCUUAGGUUCGGAAUAACUCCCCGACAGGGGUGCUAAUACCGGAUAAUGUCUUCGGACCAAAGAUUUAUCGCCUUUGGAUGGGCCCGCGUUGGAUUAGCUAGUUGGUAGGGUAAAAGCCUACCAAGGCGACGAUCCAUAGCUGGUCUGAGAGGAUGAUCAGCCACACUGGGACUGAGACACGGCCCAGACUCCUACGGGAGGCAGCAGUGGGGAAUAUUGGACAAUGGGCGAAAGCCUGAUCCAGCAAUGCCGCGUGAGUGAUGAAGGCCUUAGGGUUGUAAAGCUCUUUUACCCGGGAUGAUAAUGACAGUACCGGGAGAAUAAGCGCCGGCUAACUCCGUG